rnacentral:sRNA from 1 species
UAUCACAAAUACAAAUUAAUAAAAAUACUUUUACUUCUUAAUAAGACAAUUUAGUUACAUUUUGUGUGGGUCAAAAUUAGGCUAAAAUAGAGUCAAAAUCAGAUUAGUUUCGGUUAAAUUAUGGGUAAGUCAAAUCGGAUGUAUAAUUAUCGGUUAACUGGUCGGUUCAAUUGGAGGCGUAGUUUUAAGAACAAAUCCAAAAGUACAUGUAGUUUUAUCGAGAUUAAAAUUGUUUAUGGUGGUUUUUCGAGUGGCUAAAAGUUUAUGGUGGAAAGUUGAGAUUCUAACUAGUAUAGGGCUGAAAAUUCAGGCAACUCUAUUAGUUAUUUAAAAUUUU